UGUAAUUUAUUAAAUCAUCUCGAUUAAGUGAAGGUUUCUUAAGUAAAGGUUUAAUUACAGCUACCUUAAAAGCCAUAAAAGGUCAAGAGUCAGGUGUGCGGACUAACAUUGGGCCGAAGUACCGAGAGGGUGGCGGAUUAACUCUGCUCUGGAAGUAUGACAUUAAUUUUCGCCUUGAAAUUGACCUUAAUUUCUAUCGGAACUUCGAAUAAUGCGGAGUUGGACCCUUGUGCUGAAAACAGACGGACAGACAUGCCGUCCACAUCAACCCUGCAGCAGUACGGCCCGCUGUCUGUCCUCCUCACAUUCAGGAUGUCCAGGUCCAUCUGUCCAUCCAGGAUGUCCCCGCUGGACACAAAUCAGGACUUCAGACAGGACGGUUAAGCUCAUGUAAACGAUGUGUUGAUAAGGCCAUGCUGCUUAAAGUCAAAGAGACUGAGGUCUGAGAUCAUCCAUCUGCAAUGACCACAGAGCAGACGUCUCUUCAAACCUCCAGCAUCCUCCUCUGUAUCAACCGUAGGUCAACCACACAUCCUCAUGUUUCCCCUUUUCAUCACAGAUACCAGCUUCUGAACCUUUCACGGUGAGUAUCCUUGAUGUUUCACCUGAACCAUAGCCUCACCUGUCCAGAAGACAUGUCCUACUGUUUGUGUGAGGUGAGCUUGUCUCCUGAGGUCAUAUGCAGCUUCAUCUUCUUCUGACUCUUAGCAUGUUAUCACAUUUGUUAUGUUCUCUAGAUGAUAAAUGAGACUAAUUGCAUCAUUCAGAACCGUUUCCAGUUACAGUGAAGGGCAGAACUUGGUCAGGCGUACUGUGAGCAGCGCGGACUUUGCGCUCCUUGUCCGCGGCUUCAUAAUCGAGUGUACCAAUGUCUUGUAGUUCUGGGAAUAAAUUCCUACAUUUCCCACACUUUCUGCCAUGGCGUCAUCGGACUGGGAGGCUGAAUUAAUUUGUCGUG